UUGCUCCCAGCCAAAUCAUUCACGUAUCCAUCUUCAAGCCAGCCGUCUCCUUAUCCCUGCGAUGCCGCUCACCUGGGCUCAUCUUCCAGUCGCCCUCUCCGCCCAGCAGCAGAGCACACCAUCCUCUCCACUCGGAUCCCCAAGCCCUCGCCUCUAGCUCUUGCCACGGCAUCCAUCCCCUGCUCGGACCUCCACCCGGCCGCGUCCUCGCCGGUGGCCAGCGCCGCUGCAUCGCCCUUCCUAGCGUCGGCCUUGGCACCGCUUCCCCGAGCGCCCCAGUCGAGCUCGCCCAUCCUCUGCUCUAGCCCUUUCUCCACGCCGUCGCUGAGCUCGCCCCUCCCCUCAGCCAUGGACACGACGACCUGCAGCCCUUCUUGGUGGCCAAGCCCAUCUUCCUACUCGCGCCCCCUCUUUUUCCACCUCUGCGCGUAUCAGCUCGUCCAACCCCCAUGGUGUUUCCUCCCUCUCGGCUCCCUUGCUCCCUCCCCAUGGCGUUCCCCCUGGAUGUUGGUGAUCUGUUCCCCACGAUGCAGGCAAAUGUUCUUUCCCUCCCUGCAGCAGCACCUUGGUGGUUGUCGAGCAGCACGUCGCGCUUGCGCAGCCUCGGUCACGACGUUGUUCACCCCGCUAACCAUUGGUGUCAUACCUCACGUGUCAUGUGUUCGCCGAAAUGCCUAAACAUGUAGUCUGUCGUCGUCGUAUCCACAGUCAAUUUUAGUCAUGGUGAGCCGAUUUACUUUUGUUGUUAGUUGGUUUGUUGGUGAAUUGAAUAUGUAUUAGUCACGAUGGUUUUCUUGUUCAUAGCAUCAGUGUGUUGUGUGACGAUUUCUAGAUCUGUAGCCGUAGUUUUGUGCUAAUUUCAUAUGUGUGUAGUAUGGGAGAUAUAUUCCAGGUGUUUAAUAACUUGGGGGGCAUAGUCCUAGCGUGACGCUCCUCAUGUGUUCGGUGAUACACGUAAACCAGACAGCGUCGUUGAUUUCAUCAUCUCAAGUCAAAUUUAGUUUUGGUGUGCCAUGAAGUAAUCUCCUGAUCUAUACGGGUUUCUUGUGUACUGAUCCUCCACAACCUUUAGGGAAGUAUGGGUCGAAAGUGACUAAAUUGGUUCUAUAUGUUAUAAGUGGUCUAUCAGUGAUGUGUAGGUUGGGUUUAAUGUCUUAAGCAACUCACCGAUAAGCUCUAUUACUAUUGAUUACAUUAAAUGUAUUGAUUUUAUGAAGCUGAAGUUCUGUCUUAGUCCUCAUUAUCUUCUAAUGUUUGGUUUAGUUCUAGAUUGCUUAUGACUUUAUUUUAGUCUAGCCGAGUAUGACUACUCUUUCGUUUAUUACACAAGUUCCUUAGUUAAUUGCUAGGCAAGUGUGAUGAUAUGUUGUAUGAAAUAUGCUUGGUGAACACAUAUGCAUUGAUAUGAUUGUGUUAAUAAACCAUGAAGGGUAGAGUUUUGUUUAUGGAUAAAUUACUUAUACAAAGAACAUGUUAACACUUGCUGUUUGGACUACAGGUAUCGUUUUAGUUACGUAGGUAAUUGAGUGAAGUAAACCAUGUUUUAUGUAAACGUGUUAUAUAGAAAAGUUAUAGAUAACUACUUUAUCUUGCUGGUGCUAAAAUUCCAUGACCAUAGGUCUAGUAGUUUAAAAGAUAUGAUUUUCUUAAGUCCAGUUUCAGAAUCUGUCCAAAUUCUGUACAGGUUUCGAAAAUUGGAUUGUUUGGCUAAGUUAAAUUGAGAAUCAGUCAUUAGUAAUUAUAGGAGAAUUGUAGUACUUUCCUUAACCUUUCCAACAAAUUUUGGAUCACCCUUUUUGGUGAUCUAUAAAUUAAGUUACAACUGUUUGAGUUAGGAUCUCUGAAUCUGUCCCAAUUUGGACAGCAGAGCCUUUCUCAUGUUUUCUAACUUUGAUAUAUAUUAAAUUAACCUAGGAUGUUCAUAAAUGAAUUGUAGAUAAUUCUAUUAUCUUUCUAAAAAGUCUAGGAUCACCUAAUUUGGAUGUCUGAAACUCCAGUUAUGAGUUUUUGAAGUAAGUAGUCGAAUUCUGUCCAAAUCUGGACAAAAUUUACGUUUAGCAUUGUUUGACCAUUCUAAGUGUCAAGUCUCACUGUGAUGAUAAUACAAAAGUUGUAGAGGACUUUAUAAGCUUUCCAAAAAGUCUUAGUUUACUAUUUUUGGAUGAAGAUUGUGUAAGUUAUGAAUAAAACAACUAGCUACUGUUCUGCUGUCCAAAAUCAGCAAUGAUUAAAAUGAUUACUUGGAGUUUCUUUUGUAAGGAUACCUAUAUUUGGUUAGUUCUUGAUUGGUUGAUUGGUAGUCUUGUGGUUUUAAUUGUUACGUAAGUUCCUUGUAAUUUUGUAAUAAAGUUUAGGUUAUAAAUACCUGUGUUUCAUAAAAGUUGAGUAUGAUUAACUCCAAGUGUGUGAUUGUUAUGGGGUCAAAGUUAGCUAGUGUUUGCUCAUAUAAAUAUGACUACUCUUUCGUUUUUACACAAGUUCCUUAGUUAAUUGCUAGGCAAGUGUGAUGAUAUGUUGUAUGAAAUAUGCUUGGUGAACGCAUAUGCAUUGAUAUGAUUGUGUUAAUAAACCAUGAAGGGUAGAGUUUUGUUUAUGGAUAAAUUACUUAUACAAAGAACAUGUUAACACUUGUUGUUUGGACUGCAGGUAUCGUUUUAGUUACGUAGGUAAUUGAGUGAAGUAAACCAUGUUUUAUGUAAACGUGUUAUAUAGAAAAGUUAUAGAUAACUACUUUAUCUUUCUGGUGCUAAAAUUUCAUGACCAUAGGUCUAGUAGUUUAAAAGAUAUGAUUUUCUUAAGUCCAGUUUCAGAAUCUCUCCAAAUUCUGUACAGGUUUCGAAAAUUGGAUUGUUUGGCUAUGUUAAAUUGAGAAUCAGUCAUUAGUAAUUAUAGGAGAAUUGUAGUACUUUCCUUAAUCUUUCCAACAAAUUUUGGAUCACCCUUUUUGGUGAUCUAUAAAUUAAGUUACAACUGUUUGAGUUAGGAUCUCUGAAUCUGUCCCAAUUUGGACGGCAGAGCCUUUCUCAUGUUUUCUGACCUUGAUAUAUAUUAAAUUAACCUGGGAUGUUCAUAAAUGAAUUGUAGAUAAUUUUAUUAUCUUUCUAAAAAGUCUAGGAUCACCUGAUUUGGAUGUCUGAAACUCCAGUUAUGAUUUUUUGAAGUAAGUAGUCGAAUUCUGUCCAAAUCUGGACAGAAUUUACGUUUAGCAUUGUUUGACCAUUCUAAGUGUCAAGUCUCACUGUGAUGAUAAUACAAAAGUUGUAGAGGACUUUAUAAGCUUUCCAAAAAGUCUUAGUUUACUAUUUUUGGAUGAAGAUUGUGUAAGUUAUGAAUAAAACAACUAGCUACUGUUCUGCUGUCCAAAAUCAGCAAUGAUUAAAAUGAUUACUUGGAGUUUCUUUUGUAAGGAUACCUUUAUUUGGUUAGUUCUUGUUUGGUUGAUUGGUAGUCUUGUGGUUUUAAGUGUUACGUAAGUAUCUUGUAAUUUUGUAAUUAAGUUUAGGUUAUAAAUACUUGUGUUUCAUAAAAGUUGAGUAUGAUUAACUCCAAGUGUGUGAUUGUUAUGGGGUCAAAGUUAGCUAGUGUUUGCUCAUAGGAAUAGUGAUGCUUUUCCUGAAGUGUUUUGUCCUCUUCAGUUAGUUUAUUUAUUUGGUGUUAUUUAUGUUUGUUCUCAUUCAUAUGCAUGAUGCAUAUCUUAUAGGUACGCUAGUGAUCGAGAUGCGAAGGCCAGGGUCUAGGUUGACCCCAAGUGGUGCAAAGGAUGGCCUACUUCGAGAGGCGAUGUCGGCGGACCAAUCUAGAAGAUUGAUGAUCUCUACAUAAAAACAUGAUUACAUUGAUUCAACUCUGAUCUGGUGUUUGGCAUUUGUUUUUCCUCUACAUUAGUUUCUCAUUAUUAUAUUUGUAUAGAUUCAUAUUCUUGAGACUAACCUAAUCAGCAUUCUUUACAUAAUAAUAUUAUAAGGAGGAGUAAUUUCAUAUACAAUACUAUAUAUAAUGAGAUGAAUCAUUUGGCCUUACGAUAUGUGUAAGAAAUAAUGCUUUGAUAAUUGGCAGCCUAUCAAGAGUUUCAUUAGUGUAGAACAAAUUUUUUGUUGUUAACAUAGUGUAUAACAUUUGAUGUCGUAAUUUGUUUUGGAAGAAAAUUUAAUCUCAACAUAGAAUUUUUUACCGACAGGUUGAUGGUCUUUUAAUAUCUACAGGUUGUGGAAACUGAGAUCAUUGUAACUCAAAUGAGAGCUUGGCAGUUAGCAUAUAGAUGCCACUAGAACCAAUCUGGAAUUACUGUGAGGUAAUUUUAUAUCUUGUUCUGUAAGUUGGAGAAUUAAUAGCUAGCAUAUGCUUCCUUAAUGAUGUUUUCUUUUUCUAUGCAUCGUCAUAUUACCAAACCCUCUUCUUGCAGGAAAAACAGAUAUAGAGUGAUAAAAGGCAUUAAUGUAAGUACUACAUAAAUGUAUUACUUGUAUUUUUUAAUAAUCAAUGCUUUAAAAGUCUAUAUAGAUGCUGACUGGUGUCAGGGUUUUCCCAUUAUUGUAAGUUUGUUACAAGCAAGUGCUUUCCCUCACACAACUUCACCUUUUCUUUACAUGUUUAUUACUUUUGUUUGCUGGUUUUGACUUACAGCGAAUUGUGUAUGCAACUACUGUGGCAUAUCAAUGACCUUCCGAGAAGAUACAAUGGCGUUCUUAGUAGUAACGCUGCUUGAUUUCUAUAGUUGGAGUCAUCACACAUCUAACAUUUACACUUGAACUGUUUGGUGAAAUGCUUGGGAGAAAGAGGCCAGCAAGAAUGGAGUCAUGGAACAUCGGCAGGAGGAGUGCAGCAGCAGCAACCGAUGUAUUCCUUGAACAAACUGGUUUUGACAAGAUGCAAAUCAAUCUAGUGUACACUGUAUUCCACACUUGCAAAGAUUGUUUGGCUAAUUACAAGAUUAUCUCAGUGUUUUGGUUUGGAUUAAGAGUACACUUAUGUAUGAAAUAUUGAUUGGUACUCAUUUAUAUUAUUUUUUAUUAUAUUAUUAUUAAA